rnacentral:rRNA from 1 species
UGGGGAAUAUUGGACAAUGGGCGAAAGCCUGAUCCAGCCAUGCCGCGUGUAUGAAGAAGGUCUUCGGAUUGUAAAGCACUUUAAGUUGGGAGGAAGGGCAUUAACCUAAUACGUUAGUGUUUUGACGUUACCGACAGAAUAAGCACCGGCUAACUCUGUGCCAGCAGCCGCGGUAAUACAGAGGGUGCAAGCGUUAAUCGGAAUUACUGGGCGUAAAGCGCGCGUAGGUGGUUUGUUAAGUUGGAUGUGAAAUCCCCGGGCUCAACCUGGGAACUGCAUUCAAAACUGACUGACUAGAGUAUGGUAGAGGGUGGUGGAAUUUCCUGUGUAGCGGUGAAAUGCGUAGAUAUAGGAAGGAACACCAGUGGCGAAGGCGACCACCUGGACUAAUACUGACACUGAGGUGCGAAAGCGUGGGGAGCAAACA